UUGUGAUUGGGGCAAGGUGUCUCACUUUACCUUUUGUCACAUACCUCAACUCCGCUUCUGCGGGUAGCCGUCCCCUUAUAGCGGCGGCCCGGACGGACCCUGUGGGGCCGACUAGCGCCCCCGGAGGAUAACCAACGCUAUUUUACACGUUUCUUCUGAGUGGCAUAAGCAAAAUAAUCCCAACUUUUAACAACGGAUCUCUUGGUUCUGGCAUCGAUGAAGAACGCAGCGAAAUGCGAUAAGUAAUGUGAAUUGCAGAAUUCACUGAAUCAUCGAAUCUUUGAACGCACAUUGCGCCCGCCAGCAUUCUGGCGGGCAUGCCUGUUCGAGCGUCAUUUCAACCCUCAAGCUCUGCUUGGUGUUGGGGCUCUACGGUCGACGUAGGCCCUCAAAGGUAGUGGCGGACCCUCCCGGAGCCUCCUUUGCGUAGUAACAUUUCGUCUCGCACUGGGAUCCGGAGGGACUCUUGCCGUAAAACCCCCCAAUUUUUCAAGGUUGACCUCGGAUCAGGUAGGAAUACCCGCUGAACUUAAGCAUAUCAUAAGCGGAGGAA
rnacentral:rRNA from 1 species